GACGAACGCUGGCGGCGUGCUUAACACAUGCAAGUCGAACGAAGAGCGAUGGACGCUUGCUUCUAUCACUCUUAGUGGCGAACGGGUGAGUAACGCGUAAUCAACCUGCCCUUCAGAGGGGGACAACAGUUGGAAACGACUGCUAAUACCGCAUACGAUCUAAUCUCGGCAUCGAGGAUAGAUGAAAGGUGGCCUCUACAUGUAAGCUAUCACUGAAGGAGGGGAUUGCGUCUGAUUAGCUAGUUGGAGGGGUAACGGCCCACCAAGGCGAUGAUCAGUAGCCGGUCUGAGAGGAUGAACGGCCACAUUGGGACUGAGACACGGCCCAGACUCCUACGGGAGGCAGCAGUGGGGAAUCUUCCGCAAUGGACGAAAGUCUGACGGAGCAACGCCGCGUGAGCGAUGACGGCCUUCGGGUUGUAAAGCUCUGUUAAUCGGGACGAAAGGCCUUCUUGCGAAUAGUGAGAAGGAUUGACGGUACCGGAAUAGAAAGCCACGGCUAACUACGUG
rnacentral:rRNA from 1 species